rnacentral:rRNA from 1 species
GAAAGGUGAGCUAAUACCCUAUACGCUANCUUUUUUUCGAAAAGGGAUAGGAAAGCCGGGUCGAGGACCUGGUACUCAAGGAGGGGCUCAUGUCCUAUCAGCUUGUUGGUGGGUAACGGCCUACCAAGGCUACACGGGUAGCUGGUCUGAGAGGAUGAUCAGCCACACUGGCACUGAGAUACGGGCCAGACUCCUACGGGAGGCAGCAGUGAGGAAUAUUGCGCAAUGGGCGAAAGCCUGACACAGCGACGCCGCGUGGGGGAUGAAGGUUUUCGGAUUGUAAACCCCUUUCAUGAGGAAAGAUAAAGUGGGUAACCACUUAGACGGUACCUCAAGAAGAAGCCACGGCUAACUUCGUG